GACGAACGCUGGCGGCGUGCUUAACACAUGCAAGUCGAACGGAAAGGCCCUGCUUUUGUGGGGUGCUCGAGUGGCGAACGGGUGAGUAACACGUGAGUAACCUGCCCUUGACUUUGGGAUAACUUCAGGAAACUGGGGCUAAUACCGGAUAGGAGCUCCUGCUGCAUGGUGGGGGUUGGAAAGUUUCGGCGGUUGGGGAUGGACUCGCGGCUUAUCAGCUUGUUGGUGGGGUAGUGGCUUACCAAGGCUUUGACGGGUAGCCGGCCUGAGAGGGUGACCGGCCACAUUGGGACUGAGAUACGGCCAAGACUCCUACGGGAGGAAGAAGUGGGGAAUAUUGAAAAAUGGGCGGAAGCCUGAGGCAGCAACGCCGCGUGCGGGAUGACGGCCUUCGGGUUGUAAACCGCUUUCGCCUGUGACGAAGCGUGGGUGACGGUAAUGGGUAAAGAAGCACCGGCUAACUACGUG
rnacentral:rRNA from 1 species